AACGAACGCUGGCGGCAUGCCUAACACAUGCAAGUCGAACGAGAACUCCGGGUUUAGUGGCGUACGGGUGCGUACCGGGGGGGAACAUGCCCUUAGGUUCGGAAUAACUUCCCGAAAGGGGCGGUAAUACCGGAUAAUGUCUUCGGACCAAAGCUUUAUCGACUUUGGAUGGGCCCGCGUUGGAUUGGCUAUUUGGUAUGGUAAAAGCAUACCAAGGCGAGGAUCCGUAGCUGGUCUGAGAGGAUGAGCAGUCACACUGGGACUGGGACACGGCCCAGACGCGUGCGGGAGGCAGCAGAGGGUGAUAUAGGAGAGGGGGCGAGAGGCUGAUCCGGCAAGGCCGCGUGAGUGAUGAAGGCCUUAGAGUUGUAAAGCUGUUUUACCCAAGAUUGUAAUGACGGUACCGGGAGAAUAAGCUCCGGCUAACUCCGUG
rnacentral:rRNA from 1 species